UCGUAACAAGGUUUCCGUAGGUGAACCCGCAGAAGGAUCAUU
rnacentral:rRNA from 1 species